GGGGUGGGAGGGAUCAGUGCCCCCACAAACAAACAAAUAAACAAACCAAGAGUUACCUCCCCAGACAGCCUGGGGCCAGACAGGCUGAGGAUGGACUGAAAACAGGGCCCUGCAGGGGUCAGGCCAACGCCAGCACCAACUGCUGGACAAGUACGUGGGCCGGGGGGAGGGCCCCGGGGACGGAGAAAGGGCUGCACUGGGACAGGCGGGGUCCUGACCGUGCAGGGCAGCACUCUGAAGCAACUGGGAAAGAGCAGGGUUUUGCCCUAUGGUGUGGGGAGGUGCUAGGGGGUUCAUUUUCAACCUGCCUUCUUCCACAAGUUGAGGACAAAGGAAGGUGACUCUUCUCUGUGCUGUGGUGACCAGGGUCCCAGGGGAGCCAGGGCUGAGGGCGCCAGCCUUGGGACAAGUGGCCUCAGCGGCCCUGGAUGGAAGGGGAGAGAGGGGAGAGCGGAGCUGGCGCCCUCUGGUGGGCGACGCUGGAAGCGCGGGUGGCCGCACCGCCGCCGGAGACGUCCCAGGAGCCGUCGCCUUGCGCCGUGUCGGGGCCUCGGAGCCGUGCGCUCCGCGCGAGGGUGCACCUGGGGCGAAUUUCAGACGCAAAGCGAGGGAAUAAAGUUGCUGGGCUUGCACGCAUGCCUUCAUUCGAAGGGCUCGUGUUGGAACCUUCCUAUCCGAAGCCCUAGACACGUGCUUGGCUGGAGGUGCGCGAGCCCCGAUGAGCACUGCGCCGAGUCAUCUGUUCUGGGAAGCCGCGCGGGCGCGGCGGGGCCCACCCCAGUGUAUACCCCCCCACCGCGCGCGCGCCGCGGCGCUCGCAGCGCGCUCCUGCCCGCAGUGGGAGCCCAAUCCACAUCGGUCCCUCUGUCCCAGGGUCUCCCGGCCCGACGGGGCGCCCCACGGGCACAGCAGGGGGUUGCUUUUCCUCCCGCCCUGCCUCCGCUGGCCCCCGAGUCCCCUUCUCUGCCCUCUCAGCGCACAGUAGGAGCGCCGGGGGUGAAGACGGACUCGGAGUUUGCAGACCCUGGGAGGAGGGACAGGCCAGAGUUCUGGGGGC
rnacentral:lncRNA from 1 species